UACGGAGGGGGCUAGCGUUGUUCGGAAUUACUGGGCGUAAAGCGCACGUAGGCGGCUUUGUAAGUUAGAGGUGAAAGCCCAGGGCUUAACCCUGGAACUGCCUUUAAGACUGCAUCGCUAGAAUUGUGGAGAGGUAAGUGGAAUUCCGAGUGUAGAGGUGAAAUUCGUAGAUAUUCGCAAGAACACCAGUGGCGAAGGCGGCUCACUGGCCCGAUACUGACGCUGAGGCACGAAAGCGUGGGGAGCAAACAGG
rnacentral:rRNA from 1 species